rnacentral:rRNA from 1 species
UACGAACCGAGCGAACGUUGUUCGGAAUCACUGGGCUUAAAGGGCUCGUAGGCGGUCAACUAAGUCAGACGUGAAAUCCCCAGGCUCAACCUGGGAACUGCGUCUGAUACUGGAUGGCUUGAAUCCGGGAGAGGGAUGCAGAAUUCCAGGUGUAGCGGUGAAAUGCGUAGAUAUCUGGAGGAAUACCGGUGGCGAAGGCGGCAUCCUGGACCGGCAUUGACGCUGAGGAGCGAAAGCUAGGGGAGCAAACAGG